rnacentral:rRNA from 1 species
UACGUAGGCAGCAAGCGUUGUUCGGAAUUACUGGGCGUAAAGGGUGCGUAGGUGGUUUUGUAAGUUAGGUGUGAAAGUCCCGGGCUUAACCUGGGGAUUGCGCCUGAUACUGCAAAGCUAGAGUACUGUAGAGGAAAGUGGAAUUUCCAGUGUAGCGGUGAAAUGCGUAGAUAUUGGAAGGAACAUCAGUGGCGAAGGCGACUUUCUGGACAGAUACUGACACUGAGGCACGAAAGCGUGGGGAGCAAACAGG